rnacentral:misc_RNA from 1 species
GAUGAAGAACGUAGCGAAAUGCGAUACUUGGUGUGAAUUGCAGAAUCCCGUGAACCAUCGAGUCUUUGAACGCAAGUUGCGCCCGAAGCCAUCAGGUUGAGGGCACGUCUGCCUGGGCGUCACAGAUCGUUGCCCAAUGCCUAUUGCAGUGCAAUAGGAAUUUCUAGGGCGAAUGAUGGCUUCCCGUGAGCGUUGUUGCCUCGCGGUUGGUUGAAAAUCGAGUCCUUGGUAGGGUGUGCCAUGGUAGAUGGUGGUCGAGUUAGAACGAUACCGAUCAUGUGCAUGCUCCCCAAAAUAUGGCCUCUAUGACCCACACGCGUCUUUUGACGCUCAUGACGAGACCUCAGGUCAGGCGGGGCUACCCGCUGAAUUUAAGCAUAUCAAUAAGCGGAGGA